rnacentral:rRNA from 1 species
UGAGUAACACGUAUGCAACCUGCCUGCCACAGCCGGAUAAUCGGGAGAAAUUCCGUCUAAUACGGCAUAAUGCAUCGACGGAACAUCCUGUUGGUGCCAAAGGUUAAUUCCGGUGGCGGAUGGGCAUGCGUCGCAUUAGUUAGUUGGCGGUGUAACGGACCACCAAGACGACGAUGCGUAGGGGUUCUGAGAGGAAGGUCCCCCACACUGGUACUGAGACACGGACCAGACUCCUACGGAAGGCAGCAG